GGGCUGGGGCUCAGUGGUAGAGCACUCGCCUAGCACAUGAGAGGCCCUGGGUUUGAUCCUCAGCACCACA
rnacentral:tRNA from 1 species